AACACAAUAUUCUUUGACUAAUAAUAAUUUUACACGUCCAACGCACCACGCCAGAAUACAUAGAAUAUAAUAAUAUUAGGUGAUAUUAGGAUCGUGCGAAUUCUAAAAAAAAAAAAAGUAAUUUUCUUUCGAUUUUGAACACUCCGUGUACCAUUUUAGUGAAUAAUAAAAAUAUGUCUGUAGGUGUAUACAAUUUUCCGCAUUGGAUUUCGUUAAGGGAUGAUAAUAGAACUUAUAAAGCUAUACAAUAAUAUAUAGGACACUUAGGAUAUUUAGGGUGUAUAUAAUAUAGACGGGUCUGCCGAAGUCGAAACGGGAUUUUAUUUGAUCUUUUAUAUCGACAAACAGGGUUUUAUAUAAUAAUAAUAAUAAUAAUAAUAAUAAUAAUAAUAGUAAUAUGGUCAUCGUUCGAGAAAACCGUACGGUGAAAACAAAAGUGGAACAUGAAUAUGCCAAGGGUGGGCAUCAAUAAGUUUAAAAGUCCAGUGAUCUUAACUUGUCUUCUAUCAAUUCGUUUUUAUUAACUUGGCUUUUUUUUUACUAUUAAUUUAAUUUUAACGAGUUGAAUAAUUUAAAUUAUACCAUGUUAUGUUAUGUUUCGAUUUCUUACAAAUUUAAUUUGUUAUACUCCAUUUACCUACAUUUUGUUUGAACACGAUUAUAUCGUAUAUAUGAUUUUUUUUUUUACUGGUGACAGGAGCUGGAGUUAAAAAUACUCUGCAUGAAUGCCUACAUUGUUUCUUCUGUAACGAUUAACUUUAUUUUUUAUUAAUAACAAACCCAAAGUUCAAUAUGAAAAUAAUAAGUUAAUACAAAAUUAACUUUAGAAAAAAAAUGAAUAGAAAUUUCAACUCGUUAAGUUAUUUUAAUUAAUUCAACUUGACCGGGUUAAUACUAUAUUAUAUCCGUUAACUCGCCCAGCCUUGGAACAUGUCAUUUGUGUAUAAUUCCGUUUUGCAUUAAGUAUAUUAUAUUCUUGAGAAAGCUGUAUUUUCAUACGUAUAUUUUUUACAAUACUCCAGAUUCCUGAAAUUUUAUACCCACGUACAGUAUAGGUACCUAUCGAUAAAAUUAAAAAACACAUAUCAAUUUAACGUUUCGUGUAUCUAUACU